ACAGAAAUGGUUUGAAAAACCCUACCUUACUGAGUUCACCUCCUUUCUUUUGAGUUUAGAAUUUAUAGCAGAGAGGAGUUAGCGGAACGCAGUGGACAGAGGUUCUAUUGUGAGAAGAACCGGGUGACAGUCAUUAGCUGUGUAACCUUGAGCAAGUUACCCAUCUUCCUUGAGUGGAAAGAUGGCAACCUUCCAGAUCCGUUAUCUCAUCUGUAAAGGGUGGUGAUGAUGACUCUUGCUGCCCUCUCAGAGGGGUGAAGAUGCUUUAUAAAUGAUGAAAUCUGAAGGUGUCUUGUAAACUGUAAAACUCCAUACACAUUGUUGAUGCCUGCCUGUGCAAGAGCUGGAAAUGACAAGGCAUCAGUUUCAGAUGCAGUAAUAUCCCACCCCUACCCCAUCCGAGAAGAUCUGCUGACAGGAGGGUCUGCGUCUCAGGCAUGACUUUCCACCAGCAGUUCAAGAAACACAAGAGUUCUCAGAGUUUCUGGGAUGAAGGUCAGUUCCCUGGGGAGCUGAGAGGCGCUGCUCAGCAAGCAAGGAGUUUGGCCCACUGCGUGCCUGUCAUCUUUGCAGGUUCCCAAGAGUUUAAUGAUGGUGCCACAAGUUUGCACACUGCUGCUGGCUGAAACUGUCAAUACUCAUCAGAUUUCAAAGUGGAACUGUAGACCCUGUGCCUUCGAAGAACUGGGUUCGGGUAUCUGUAGAGUUGAGCACAGACUUAAGAGACCAUCAGUGAGGAAAGGCCUUACAGGGUGAAACUGCUCACAAUGAUUAAAAGUGGGGAAGUGAGAACAGCUGUCUGGGAAAAUAACGCCACUCAGCGAUGGGAAUCGGGAUGGUGAGGGGAGAAAUGGAGAGCUGAGAUUGUGAGCAGACAGGAUGGCCAGGCGACCACCAGAGCUAGCAAGCUGAGCGUGGACAGAUCAGCUGCUGCCAGCCGUGACCACUCUUGGGGAGGAAUUCUAGGAAACCAAGGGCGGGGCUCGGCAGUGAGGUUUGGAAGAGGUGAGCUAAGGAGACUGGUACCCCAGAGAACAGUCUCCAGCCUCUUACAUUUUUCAGAUUUUUUUCAAAGCUUUCUUCUUCUUAUCAAACUUUACUCACUUAGAAACCAUUCUAGAAAUGUGGUAUCACAUUUAUUUACAACCUAAAGGUAACAAUUCCUGCAUACUUUCCCUUUCAUGACAUAUUACAUUAAACAGGAUGAGCCUUUAGAAAAAAAAAAACUGCUAAGUACAUCUUUGGGGGAUGAAGCUGUAUUUGUCAAGAACUAUUACCUGUAGCUAAUGUUCUCAAACUUGAGCUAAGAUCAGCAUCAACUGGAGGGCUUGUUAAAACAGCAAGUGCUGGCCUACACCCCAGUGUCUGAUACGGUAGCUCUGGGGUGAGGCAUUUCUAACAAGCUCCCAGGUGAUGCUGAUGCUGUGGUCCACAGACCAUACUUUGAGAGCUACUGCCCUAGAGAACUAGGGAUUUUUGACAGGAAGAGAAAUAAAAAUGCCAAGACCCUCCAGUGGGCAAAUACAUUCCCUCACCAUUAGCAUCCCAGUCUUUUAAGUUGAAGUGCAGAAAGGCUACUCCUCUCAAGCAGAUCACGUGGCUACUAGUCAGUUUCUCACUAUGUGGAAAUAUUCAUAGAAACGCUAAGGGUAAUCUGAAAAGGAAUCGUAGCAUGGUUCACUGAACAAGAGCCACAUUUUCCAUCAGAUUUGGGACAUUCUAGAUCAGUGCUUUCAAUAGAAAAAUGAUGCAAGCCUCAUAUAAUUUUAAAUUUUAAAAGUAAAACUAAGUGAAAUUAAUUGUAAUAAUUUUAUUUAAUCCAGUAGAUGCAAAAUAUUUCAACAUGUAGGCACUGUAAAAAAACUUAUUCAGAUAUUUUACGUUAUUUUCUUAUACUGUCUUCAAAAUCGAGUGUGCAUAUAACAGCACCUCUCAGUUUGUACCAGCCGCAUUUCAAGUGCCUGAUAGUCACAUAUGGCUCGUGGCUACCUCAUUGGACAGAGGAAUUCCAGAUGAUAUUUUCUUAAUGAGAUCAAAGGCAAAUCCAAUUUCUUAGUGUCAAGUACUUUUAAUAAUUAUUUUACCCCACGUCAUCAAGCUCCAUCAGACUCCCACGACUCUCCCCCUCUGACCACCCCUGAGAGAAGCUCUCUGUGCCAGAGAGUGAUAAUUGGUCCCAACUGUCCCUUCUUCCCCCUCUUCUAUAGUAAUGGCAAUUUUAGCUAGACAUGUGGCUACCCAGAAUAAACGUUACAUUUUCCCUGCAGCUAGGUGAAGCCAUGAAACUACUUUUUGGUCAGUGAGACAUAAACAUA
rnacentral:lncRNA from 1 species